rnacentral:sRNA from 1 species
GCCACAGAAAAGGUGUUUGUUUAGACAGACUGUAUGUAGCCCCACCUGGCCUCAAACCCUGACUUUUCUAGAGUUCUGAACUCCAGGCAUGUGGCACCCAGGCCCUGCUCAGAGAAAGGUGUUUUGCUAACCUGCAGAAUCAUCCCAGAGGCCUGUAGGGAAAACAAGUUUCUAUUAAACACCCUCAUCCCAGACCAGAUCCUCAAGAUGACUCAGAGGUUAAGUCAAUUCCUUCUGCUCGUUUUAAUGUUCCUCUCUUAUGGGGUGAGCGACAGCAGCCCAGUGACAUGGAAGACAAAUGCAGUGGAAAACAGCCCAUGGGAGUGAGUGCUGGGCCCGGACACAAUGGGAGACUCUGGGAGAUCUGAGUCCUUACACAUGCUCUCAGUUUCCAAGGAUACCUUUUUAGGAUACUAACCUUAGCACAAAUGGCUGCAUGGUCAGAGGAACCAAGACACUCAUCCAACAGGGCCGCGUCACCAGGCAACCCACCAGCUAACCGUGGCUUCCGGAAUGAGCCAGGAACCUGUCUCGGCUUGAGACAGUGCCCAGAUCACACGUCCAUGCUCUUGGCAAGCAGCUGUUGGAGUCAACAACCUCAGUCACAGCACUGACAUUCUAGACUCCAGCUUCGCUAUGGUAACGUCUGUGAGGUCUCCAGUCUAUCUGUCAUCCUCCCAACCCAAUCCAUCCCUGCACGGAAGAACAGAGACCUGAUUCAGUCCAAGACUGUCACACGUAUGCCAAAGUCAUUGAAGAAUGGCUGGCCAUAUCCACUCAGCUAGUGGAUUCCUGACUGCAGCCUAUAAAAGGGGCAAAGCACCCGUUCGCUACUGGACCUCUUCUCUCUUCCCCUACCUGCAGAACUACUGGAUAUCUUCCUUCUUCUUUGAAGCAAAGAGCUGAAUGCCAGCAUCGUGUCUGUGUGAACCUCUGCUAUGAUGACAACUGCUCUUCUGUGCCUUCCUUGCCAGGAGAGACUGAGUGCUUUAAAACCAUGUUCAAAACGAAGUCCUUGUUUCUGUUGGUGGGGGGCGGGGGUCACAGUGAUACAAUGUAACCAGUACAGUCAGGAUAGCAGACAUACUUUCGGGAGAAAUAAUCAGAGCCAAGACAUUUACCUCA